AGAGUUUGAUCCUGGCUCAGAGCGAACGCUGGCGGCAUGCUUAAUACAUGCAAGUCGCACGGGCAGGGGCAACUCUGUCAGUGGCGGACGGGUGAGUAACGCGUAGGUAUCUAUCCUGAGGUGGGGGACAACCGUGGGAAACUACGGCUAAUACCGCAUGAUGCCCGAGGGCCAAAGGCGCAAGUCGCCUUGGGAGGAGC
rnacentral:rRNA from 1 species